GACGAACGCUGGCGGCGUGCUUAACACAUGCAGGUCGAACGGAAAGGCCCUGCUUUUGUGGGGUGCUCGAGUGGCGAACGGGUGAGUAACACGUGAGUAACCUGCCCUUGACUUUGGGAUAACUUCAGGAAACUGGGGCUAAUACCGGAUAGGAGCUCCUGCUGCAUGGUGGGGGUUGGAAAGUUUCGGCGGUUGGGGAUGGACUCGCGGCUUAUCAGCUUGUUGGUGGGGUAGUGGCUUACCAAGGCUUUGACGGGUAGCCGGCCUGAGAGGGUGACCGGCCACAUUGGGACUGAGAUAAGGCCCAGACUCCUACGGGAGGCAGCAGUGGGGAAUAUUGCACAAUGGGCGGAAGCCUGAUGCAGCAACGCCGCGUGCGGGAUGACGGCCUUCGGGUUGUAAACCGCUUUCGCCUGUGACGAAGCGUGAGUGACGGUAAUGGGUAAAGAAGCACCGGCUAACUACGUG
rnacentral:rRNA from 1 species